CAGGAGAGUCAGGUAUAUCAUUAAAUUACAGUAUAAGGCAUAGCUGCAAUCAAAAUGGUUUCCUAAAGUAUACACAGAACACAAUGAUAAUAUUGGGGUGCGUACGUGUGUGUGUGUGUGUUGGGGGUUGUCAGAAAAGGCAAAAUGUGUGCUUAGAAGGACAAAACCAAGUUUCUCCAAGAUUCCUCAAAAGAUUAAACAUGGAACCACCAUAUUAUCCAGCUAUACCACUCCUUGAUAUUUAUCCUAAAGAAUUAAAGUCAUUAUACCAUAGCCAUAUAUACAUACACAUGUUUACAGCAGCACCAUUCACAAUAACUAAACUAUGGAACCAGCCUCAGUAUCCAUCAACAGAUAAAUGGAUAAAGAAAAUUAUAUAUAUAUAUAUAUAUAUAUAUAUAUAUAUAUAUAUAUACACACACACACACACACACAUACAUAUACAUACAUACAUACACACACACACAAAAUGGAAUUUUAUUCAGUCAAAAAGAAAAGUGAAACUAUGUCAUUUGCAGAAAAAGGGAUAGAACUUAUGCUAAGCAAAAUAAGCAAACUCAGAAGGUUAAGAGUUGCAUGUUUUCCCACAUAUGUGGAAGCCAGAGAGGAAGAGGAAAAAGAAAGGCUUGUGUGUGUGGCGAGGGGUAGGGAGGUUAUCAUGGAAAUCAAAGGGAGAUCAGUAGAAUAGAGGAAAGGGACCGGAGGAAGUAAGAGGGGAGGAAAAGAGGAAAUACUGGGGAAUAAUAUUGGCCAAAUCCUAUUGUUAUAUUGUGGUAUGUGUAUGUGUAUGAAUAUGUAACAACAAAUCCCACCAUUAUACACACUAUAAUGUACCAAUGAAAAAAUAUGGGGUGGGGGUAAAAACAGUUUCUCCAUGAACAAGAAAGGGACAAAUUUCUAGGCAGAGGAAAUAGUACAUAUCCAGACAAGGAUGCAUGAGAUGAGUAUUUAGUUGAACACACAGGCACUGGCAUUGUUCCACACCAUGGGCAAUUACUGAUGACAAGAUUUUAGAUAAGUGUACACCAAGGGACAGAAGCACUAGUCAUAGUGAAAAUGGUGAAAUGACCCUUGUGUUCAGUAAUGGAUGAAUGAAUAACUACACAAUGUGACAUACACAUGUGAUGAAGGUUACUUAAGCUUUAAGAGGAAUGAAAUUCUGAUACAUAUAUAGAAAGUUGAAAGCAUUAUGCUAAAGGAAAUAAACUAGAUGUGAAAGGACAUAUAAUGUAUGAUUCUAUCUGCAUGAAAGGCUUAGAAAUAGGAAAAUUCAUAGAGACAGAAAAUAGAACAGUGGUUACCAAUGCAGGGUAUGAGGGAUAAUAGGGAUUUAUUAAUAAGUAUAGAGUUCUUGUGUGGGUUGAUUAAAAAAAGUUCUGGAAAUGGAUAAUGGUCAUGGCUGCAUAGCAACGUGAAUGCACUUAAUGCCACUGAACUAUGCAAUUAAAAUAAUUGAAAUAGUAAAUUUUAUGUUAUGCAUAUUUUACCACAGUUUAAAAAUUUUCUGUUUUUAUAAGGCUUAUAUUCUGGUAGAGGAGUCAGACAAUGAAUAAACAGAGAAUUGAUUGGAUCAUCAUAGAUUAUGACAAAUGCAUCAGAGGAAAGAAACAGAGGGAUAAGAUAGAGGGCCUGGGGGGUAUUAUUUUGGGAUCCUCAAUAUGUUGAACUGCCUAGAAUGGUGAGUAGCCCCAGAGAAUCAGGAUUAAGAAAAGAAUGGUGGGAGAUGAGACUAGAAAAUAGGUGUGGCAGGAACUACAUUAUGGAGAAUCUUGUGUGUUAUACUAAGAUGUUUUCGCUUUAUCCCGAGAGUCAGUGAAGGUUUUUAGGAAAGGCAGUACUUAGCUUUGGCCACAAUGCACAGGAAGCAUUGGUGGGUGAAGCCACAUGCAGAACACCAGUGUAGGAGGCUAUUUCUGCUGCUCUGUUCAGUGAGGAAGAAGUCCUUGUCUUGGGUGGUGGCAGAGAAGGAGGGUAAUGGAGACCUCCUCCAGAUGGAGAAAUCAGCAAGCCCUGGGCAUGUGGAAAGUGGAGGGCAGGACGUAGUCCAGACUUCUGGCUUGGGAGACUGGGGGUUGGUGGCACAUCAGCCAAGCCAGGGAUCAUAGCUGGAGGAAAAGUUGGUCAAUUUAACAUUGAACAUAUUGUUUUGAAGAACCUGUUGAAUCCAUUAAUUGAUGGCUCCGGCAUGUGACAGUGAUCGGAAUCAGGAAUACAGACCAUGAAAUUCUAAGCAUUGAGGGAGGGUUAAAAAUUGUGGCAGUAGCUGAGAAUUUCUCAGAAGUCAGUGUAGAGUGGGAAGAGGAGAGGACUAGUAUCAGCACAACAGGGAAUGCCUCGUAUAACACAACGAACACAAAAGGGAAGCAGAAAAUUAUGAUAGCAAGAGAGGCUGAUCAUUUAUCAGGAGAGAAAAAUAACACUAGCAAUUGUCUUUGCUAAUACAGACUCCAUGGAGUCUUGGAGUGGAGACCCAAGUGCACUGGGAAGAGGCGUGAAUGGGAAGAAGAAAGGACCAAUACACGCAAAACUAUUCUUUGAAGAAACUUGACUGAGAAGAAAAGGAAAGAGACAAGGAAAUCUGUAGAGAUGCAGGAGGAAAGAAGCUUUUUGUUUGCUUUUUAAAGAAUGGGACAGUCUAUUUAAAAAAAUGUAUAUUGGAAUAAUUUUACAUUUGGAGAAAAGUUGCAAAAAUCAUACAUAGCUCCUUUAAGCCCUUUACCUAGUUUCAUCUAAUUGCAAGUAAUUUCCUCAUUGCAUGUAACCAUUGUGCAAUGAUCAAAACCAGGAGAAUGACAUCAAAACAAUAAUAUUAACUAAUUUACACACCAUCUACAUUCUUCUGUUUCAGUAUCCAGUAUAGGGUCUGACGCUGCCCUCAGCUGUCAGGUCUCCUUAUUCUCCUCCUCAGUCUUGCAUGACUUUGGUGCUUUUAAAGAGGGCUGGCCAGGUAUUCUAUGGAACAUCUCCCAUUGGGUUUGUCCUGUGUUUUCUCAUGAUUCAGUGAAGCAGUUUUUUUGUAACAACGCCACAGAAGUGAAGUUGAGUCCUUCUUGGCUCAUCAUAUCAGGUGGUACAUGAUGCCAUAGUCUCAUUUUUGGGGGGGUAAGGCGGGUGGGGGGUACCAGGGAUUGAACUCAGGGACACUCCACCACUGAGUCCUAUCCCCAGCCCUAUCUUGUAUCUUUCUUUAGAGACAGGGUCUCACUGAGUUGCUUAGGGCCUUGCUAAAUUGCUGAUGCUGGCUUUGAACUCAUGAUUCUCCUCUCUGAGCCUCCUGAGCCACUGGGAUUACACGCAAGUGGCACUGCGCCCGGUGCCAUAGUCUUAUUCAUUGUGAUGUAAACUAUGCUCACUUGGUUAAAGGGGUGUCUACCAGCUUUCCUUGUUUUUUUUUUUUUUUCUUUUGUGCACAAUUACUGUGGUGUUUGCCUAGUGAUUUUCUGUUUUUAUCAUUCUACCUGUGUUUAUUAAUUGGAAUUCUGCUGUAUGGGAAAGUUUCCCCUUUUCCCCAUUUACUUACUUUUUUUUUUCCUUUGGCGGUGCUGGGGGUUGAACCCAGGGCCUUGUGCAUGCAAGGCAAACACUCUACCAACUGAGCGAAUCCCCAGCCCCCUAUUUACUUAUUUAUUCAAUUAUUUGUUUCUAUCAGUAUGAAUCUGUGAGCAUCAGUGCAGCUGACUUUGUUGCUCCACUUGUCCCAGGUCUGGCUCUUGGGAGCUCCUUGGGGCUGGCUUUUAUGCCUGGGUGACAUGCUCCUCUCACUUUGUAGUGUUUGCAUGCCAGCUGCAUCAUGAGGUUUCUUGAUCCUUUUGUAUUUCCUUGUUUCAUAUCUGGGAGCAACUAUUUUUCUAAGCAGUCCUUUCAUUGGAGUUUUGAACUUGACCUGUGUGCUGAAGAGCAGAACCCCAAAGAGAUGGAGAAUGAAAGCUGCAAUUGAGAGAAAAGGGUUAAUAAAUAGAGAGUUGCUUAUGAAAGAAGGCAAUGCAAGGGCAGAUGUGGGUAAAUUUAUAGUUGGGGAAAGUUCAGGCAUUUUCCAUUUGGUGUGUUUGUUUCCUAUCAUUAAAACAAAUACCCAAGAUAAUCAACUUAUAAAGAGGAAAAGUUGAUUUUGGCUCCGUUUGGAGGUUCCAGACUGUGAUCUGGUGAGCCCGUUGCUUUUAGGCCUCUGGUAGAGGAGAACCCAUCAGGGCGAAAAUGCAUGGUGGAGCCAAGCCAUUCCCUUCAUGGCCAAGAAGCAAAAGGAAGGAGGAAGAAGAAAGGGCUGGAGUUCCACUAUCCCCUUCAAGGGCAUGUCCCCAGUGAUCUGAAGACCUCUUGUCUCCAAUGGCACCAACUGUGGGAUCAAGCCUUUACCACAUGGACCUCUGGGGGACAUUCUAAUUCCAAACUAUAGCAUUUGGUGAUGUUUCCUUCCUCAGUAAGGGGGAAAGGGGAUUAUCUGUUGGAAUCAAAGGUGGGAGCAGAGCAGGUGGAGCAAGGGGAGGCCGAGUGGGAGCAGAAGGGUACGGGGCUUGGGCAUAGGGAAGGAAGGUGGCAGGUGCUGUGCAGGCCAGGAAUCUGCAGGGUGUGUGACAGGAGGAACUUGGGAGUGUGGCUGGAAAAAGACUGGAUGCUGGGUCCUGGCUGUGGGUCCUGGGUCCUGGCUGGGGAGGAAGGGGAGACUUGAAGACAGUCCUGUGGGAAGAAUACAGGAUGUGGAUAGGGAGGUGGAGAUUUAAAGGAAAGAUCCCAUUCUCAGUAAACUGGCAGACUAGGUGCUUAGGAAUGCAGAAGUCACCUGGGAUAGGGGCAGGAGCAGGGGUAAAGAGUGGUACCAGGUGGUGGUGUCCAGGUCUUUCUUAUAUGUUGGUCCACAGUCCUCUACCCUUGAAGAUGAGUCAAGUCAAUCCUUAGCUGAAGGCAAAGCUCCUCCCCAUACUCUGGGGUCAGAUCCAGUGUAUAGUAAGAGGGCCUAUAAGGCUUAAAUGUUCUCAGCCCCAGCUUUGGGGGUUCUUACUGCUGGUGUGGCUCUCACCUGGACUCUCUACCUGUCUGACUCAGGUAGGCCCCUCCCUCUGUGGGCAUGAGCUUGGCAUCCUACCAGUAAUGGUCACUGGGACAAUGCUCUUGAGUUGAUCUCCUAGUCUCAGACCCACCUUCAGGAAGCAUGCUAUCUUCUACCUUCUACUGUGUGCCCCCAGGCCAGUGAAACUUCCAAUCUUGGUACCCAUUUCUGUCCACUGUAGCCACUGGGCAAGUGCCACCUUCCCCAUAAGGCUGAAAGGACCAGGGCAGGCUGGUCUGGUCUGUCCCCCAUCUACAGCUCAGAGGUUCAAGGCACAUUGGUGGGUGAAUGCAUACAGGCCUGAUGACGUGCCUAUUUAUUUUGGUGUCUGUGUGUGUAAAUAGGAUAUAGGGUAUAUAUUUUUGGAAUUCUGAGGAACAGGCGGUAGAACUAUGCCUGGAAAAAGUUACCCUCAUCGUUGCUUUUACUUUCUCUCCUGCUUGGGACGCGGCAAAACUAGCAAUGUGCUAGUCCCUGUGUCACCCCACAGGACAUGGAGCAUUAAGCCGUAGGGCUGCCCUGUGGAGGCAGCUCUAUGGAAGAAACGAGGAUGACCCCGUUGCAUCUUUUCUCCUGGCUCAGCAGUUCUGGAAGAGGCCUCGGGGACUGGUCCUGUGUGUCCAGUGCCAUGCUGGGAGGUUUGGGGUAUGCCUGCUCUGCAAAACCUGUAGUGGGGCCUCUGGCUCCCUUUUGUCACUGUUGGAAGACCUUCCUGCUUCCUUCCAGACAACUCAUCCCAGCUGGGUCAUAAAUAAAAGAACAAUAUAGCCACAUAUUUAUAGUCUCUGUGAAUCACUGGUGACUAAUUUUUCCCAUUUUGUCACCCCAAAUAGUUUUCUCUUUAGCCUCCUGGUGAGGGCACAGCACCA
rnacentral:lncRNA from 1 species